rnacentral:rRNA from 1 species
AUUGAACGCUGGCGGCAGGCUUAACACAUGCAAGUCGAGCGGGGAAGGGUAGCUUGCUACCUAACCUAGCGGCGGACGGGUGAGUAAUGCUUAGGAAUCUGCCAUUUAGUGGGGGACAACAUUCCGAAAGGAAUGCUAAUACCGCAUACGUCCUACGGGAGAAAGCAGGGGACCUUCGGACCUUGCGCUAAAUGAUGAGCCUAAGUCGGAUUAGCUAGUUGGUGGGGUAAAGGCCUACCAAGGCGACGAUCUGUAGCGGGUCUGAGAGGAUGAUCCGCCACACUGGGACUGGGACACGGCCAAGACUCCUAUGGGAGGCAGCAGUGGGGAAUAUUGGACAAUGGGCGGAAGCCUGAUCCAGCCAUGCCGCGUGUGUGAAGAAGGCCUUAUGGUUGUAAAGCACUUUAAGCGAGGAGGAGGCUACUUAGAUUAAUACUCUAGGAUAGUGGACGUUACUCGCAGAAUAAGCACCGGCUAACUCUGUGCCAGCCGCCGCAGUAA